CCGACUGAGUUGAGUAAAGCUUUUGGAUGCAGGUAAUGUUAGCUAAAAGAUGACUAGCUAAUAUCGGUACACCACCUUAAGCUGGUUAACAAUAGCCUCUAGAUUACUGAUGUUGUCUAUGUUCAAAAGUGGGUAGUUGUUACAUUACGUCGAGGAACUCUUUUGGGGAAAAAGUACUUAUAAGAGUAGUUUUACUGCACUGCACCUUUUUAUUUUACUUGAGUAAUAGUAUUAUUGCUACGUGGAUUAAUUUUGCCUCCCAAAACCUUGUUAAACUCAUCCGGAGCGGCUGUUCUGUCCUAAAGUGAAAGUAAAGGCGUUCUCUGCUUUCAGUCUUUGUCGCAGCUGCUGCAGCACCGACAGUACAGACACUGACUCUGAAGAAAGCAAAGAAAGGUUCGGUCCAUAGCAUUUGGGGCUCCAAUCGAAAAAUCUCACAAAAUAAGUUCCAAAUCAUCCUAUACCAACAAUUUGGACCGCUGCAGGGAUCCACGAGAUGUGGAAAAAGACAACUAAAAAGUAUGUCACUACAGGUGAAACCUUUGGAGCACAUAAAGCCUUUAAGAAACUAGUUAAGAAGAAGCUCCAGGGAAAUAUCAGCAAGAUACAUAAAGACCCCAUUGUUUAUUGUCCCAUCACGUCCCGUGUUGGCUCAGAUGUGGAAGCAGCUUUGGACCAAGUGAAAAAUGAAAAAGGUAUCAUCCUGGUUUUGAUGCAUCACACCAGAGAUCCUGAUUACUCCACUGCUGGGACAAAGUGGUCUGAAACAAUCGAGAAUGUUGACUUGGAUGUUCAUGUUCUGUUCCAUGAAUCUGUGCCGGGAUUACUAAAAUGUUCACAAAAUGACAAGGCAGCGGAUCAAAUUGUUAGAUUUUUAAAAGACAAGAAAAAAAAAUAGUCGCAGUAAACGAGGUUCACAAAAAAUAGAACAAUAAGAACAAAAGAACCAAAUUAUAAGCAAUAGAAUGGAAAAAGAGAUUGAACUAGAUCACAUGCAAAAGCAGAGAGAAAGCAUUCCUCCACUUCAUGACUGACUUACUAUUAAUAUGUGAGCCACAUAUCGACUUGCUGAAAUUAAAAAAACUAAUAAUUUCAUUUUGGGAGCAAAAUAAGAGAAUUAUUUAAAAAAUAUUAUAUUUAUAAAACAUAAAGAUGAUGAAGUUCACCACCUCAGAUUAAUCAUGGUCUUUUUUGAUUUGUAUUAAAAGGUAUUUUACAAGUUCUGAUUAGUCCAAAAAAAAAAAAUCAGAAGAAGUCUAUAUAGGGUACACUCACAUUUAAUAAAUAAUGUGUUUUGAUGAUACCUGUCAGAAUGAAAGUACUUUCUGAAAAACUUUCUGAAAAAAAGUGUAAUUUUUAUCAUUAUCUGUACAGAAAGUUAUCAUAUAACAGAAAUAAAGGACGGGAAACAUCAGUAUGGGUAAUUAAUCUACAGUAUAUUAUGUGUUUCACUUCUAAUUUAUCAAAUAUGAUCUUACGAUACAAAUUUAAAUGGUCAAGAAUAAAAAUUCUCUCGUCACUCUAUUUAAAUGACACAAAAUGUGGCUUUCAGGACUGAAGACAUUGUAAAAUAAAUAAUCAUUAAAAUGUCUUUAAGCUUCUCUGUGACUUUAGAGGAUUAUUCCUCUUUCCUCUUAUUAAUAUUUGAGCUCCAUGUUGGGACCAUAGUUGUUUAUUUUGUACAUGUUGCCACUGGAACCUUUUUGUAUGAAGCAUAAGCUCAAGACAAUGAUGUCAUUACCUCCACCUUUUCUGAACUUUGACCUUUUGCUAAAGCUAAGCCUUAUCUCUCUUUUUAUGGAAUUUGUUUUUCAUGCUUUUAUUGUGUCUCACAUAGACUUGUAAUUAUUUUCUUUAUGUUGAUCUGGAUUAAUCAUCUCAGGAUAGUUUAUAAAUAGUUCAAACUGCAGCUGAUCUUAAAGCUCUUAAACUGUCGUCUGCUCAGAUAUUAGAACCGUUCAGACGUCUUUAUUUACUCUUUGGCUGAUUGACACAAGACAUUAAAAUGUUUCUAUGAAGUUUAACUCAUCAAGCUUUCAUUAUAUUUUGUUACAAAUUGUGAGGCACUUACACUAAAACUGGAAUUAUAGCCCAAUAUGGAAGUAUAUUUGUCAUGAACAUAAGAUAGAAUGUUCAGCAUUAAGGGUUGUAUUUUUAUCUUUAAGGAUUUGUAACAUAUUUUGGAUAUUUAUAUUUGGCUGAUUUUACUGAUUGAUUUUGUUCUUCAUUUAUUUGCAUAAAAGGUGUAAAUAAAAGCUGAGUUUCUAAUUUCA